rnacentral:tRNA from 1 species
ACCUGGCUGGCUCAGUCGGUGGAGCAUGAGACUCUUGAUCUUGGGGUUGUGAGUUUGAGCCCCAUGCUGAGUG